rnacentral:rRNA from 1 species
UACGUAGGCAGCGAGCGUUGUUCGGAGUUACUGGGCGUAAAGCGUGCGUAGGCGGUAUUGCAAGUUUGGUGUGAAAUCUCCCGGCUCAACCGGGAGGGUGCGCCGAAAACUGCAAGGCUAGAGUGUGGGAGAGGUAGGCGGAAUUCCUGGUGUAGCGGUGAAAUGCGUAGAUAUCAGGAGGAACACCUGCGGUGUAGACGGCUUACUGGACCAUAACUGACGCUGAGGCACGAAAGCGUGGGGAGCAAACAGG